AUGGCCAGGUUGCCGGCGCACUGUUGGCCGCCCAGCCGAGUCCCAGGGCUCUGCCCAUCCCCCCGGAUUCCUGAGCAUGCAGAGCUCAGGUUCCUCUUUCUCCCCUUUGCAUCCUGUUCUCUUUGGAGGGAAAUAGACACCGCAGCCCACACUUGGGUGGUGCACUGUUCUUUCCAGCUUAAUUCUGUUUCUUGGAGACCGUCUCGUGUCGUUCAGAAGAACUCUGUGCCCUUUUCCUCACUGGCAUCGUGUCCUGCUGUCCACACCUGUCCCGUUCUCCACACCUGUCCCGUUGUCUGUACCUGUCCCAUUGUCACAGUACCUGUCCCAUUGUCCGUACCUGUCCCGUUGUCCUUAGAUGUCCCAUUGUCUGUACCUGUCCCAUUGUCCGUACCUGUUCCAUUGUCCGUACCUGUCUCAUUGUCCGUACCUGUUCCAUUGUCACAGUACCUGUCUCAUUGUCCGUACCUGUCCCAUUGUCACAGUACCUGUCCCAUUGUCCGUACCUGUCCCGUUGUCCUUAGAUGUCCCGUUCUCCACACCUGUCCCAUUGUCCGUACCUGUCCCAUUGUCCUUAGAUGUCCCAUUGUCUGUACCUGUCCCAUUGUCCGUACCUGUCCCAUUGUCCUUAGAUGUCCCAUUGUCUGUACCUGUCCCAUUGUCACAGUACCUGUCCCAUUGUCCUUAGAUGUCCCAUUGUCCGUACCUGUCCCAUUGUCACAGUACCUGUCCCAUUGUCCAUACCUGUCCCAUUGUCCUUACCUGUCCCAUUGUCCAUACCUGUCCCACUGUCCUUACCUGUCUCAUUGUCUGUACCUGUCCCAUUGUCCUUACCUGUCUCAUUGUCCGUACCUGUCCCAUUGUCCUUACCUGUCCCAUUGUCUGUACCUGUCCCGUUGUCCGUACCUGUCCCGUUGUCUGUACCUGUCCCAUUGUCCGUACCUGUCCCAUUGUCCGUACCUGUCUCAUUGUCUGUACCUGUCCCAUUGUCCAUACCUGUCCCAUUGUCCGUACCUGUCCCGUUGUCCGUACCUGUCCCGUUGUCCUUACCUGGGCCAUUGUCUGUACCUGUCUCAUUGUCUGUGCCUGUGUCAUUGUCCUUACCUGUCCCAUUGUCCGUACCUGUCCCAUUGUCCUUACCUGUCCCACUGUCACAGUACCUGUCCCAUUGUCACAGUACCUGUCCCAUUGUCCGUACCUGUCUCAUUGUCUGUGCCUGUGUCAUUGUCCUUGCCUGUCCCACUGUCCGCACUUGUCCCGUUGUCCUUAGAUGUCCCGUUCUCCACACCUGUCCCGUUGUCCUUACCUGUCCCAUUGUCCUUACCUGGGCCAUUGUCUGUACCUGUCCCCUUGUCCUUAGAUGUCCCAUUGUCUGUACCUGUCCCGUUGUCUGUACCUGCCACGAUGAAUUGA
rnacentral:lncRNA from 1 species